rnacentral:tRNA from 1 species
GAGGGUCUAGCUCAGUGGUAGAGUGCAUGCUUAGCAUGCUUAAAGUCCUGAGUUCAAUCCCCAGUCCCUCC